GCAGGCAUGGUGGCGUGUGCUGUAGUCCCAGCGACUCGGGAAGCUGAGGUGGAGGAUCUCUGAGCCCAGGAGUUCAAGUACGCUAUGCCAAUUGGGUAUCCACACUAAGUUCGGCAUCAAUAUGAUGACCUCCUGGGAGCAGGAGACCACCAGAUUGCCUAAGGAGGGGUGAACCGACACAGGUCGGAAAUGGAGCAGGUCAAAACUCCCAUGCUUAUCAGUGGUGGAUCACACCUGUGAAUAGCCACUGCACUCCAGCCUGGGCAACAUAGUGAGACCCCGUCUCUA
rnacentral:SRP_RNA from 1 species